AGUGAACGCUGGCGGUAGGCCUAACACAUGCAAGUCGAACGGCAGCACAGUAAGAGCUUGCUCUUACGGGUGGCGAGUGGCGGACGGGUGAGGAAUACAUCGGAAUCUACUUUUUCGUGGGGGAUAACGUAGGGAAACUUACGCUAAUACCGCAUACGACCUACGGGUGAAAGCAGGGGAUCUUCGGACCUUGCGCGAUUGAAUGAGCCGAUGUCGGAUUAGCUAGUUGGCGGGGUAAAGGCACACCAAGGCGACGAUCCGUAGCUGGUCUGAGAGGAUGAUCGGCCACACUGGAACUGAGACACGGUCCAGACUCCUACGGGAGGCAGCAGUGGGGAAUAUUGGACAAAGGGCGCAAGCCUGAUCCAGCCAUACCGCGUGGGUGAAGAAGGCCUUCGGGUUGUAAAGCCCUUUUGUUGGGAAAGAAAAGCAGCAGGUUAAUACCCCGCUGUUCUGACGGUACCCAAAGAAUAAGCACCGGCUAACUUCGUG
rnacentral:rRNA from 1 species